rnacentral:rRNA from 1 species
UACGUAGGGUGCAAGCGUUAAUCGGAAUUACUGGGCGUAAAGUGUGCGCAGGCGGCCGAGCAAGUCGAGUGUGAAAGCCCCGAGCUUAACUUGGGAACUGCGCUCGAAACUACUUGGCUAGAGUGUGGCAGAGGCAGGUGGAAUUCCGGGUGUAGCGGUGGAAUGCGUAGAGAUCCGGAAGAACACCGGUGGCGAAGGCGGCCUGCUGGGCAGUAGCUGACGCUGAGGAGCGAAAGCCAGGGGAGCAAACGGG